ACGGAAGGCAGCAGUGGGGAAUAUUGGACAAUGGGGGAAACCCUGACCCAGCGACGCCGCGUGAGUGAAGAAGUAUUUCGGUAUGUAAAGCUCUAUCAGCAAGGAAGAAAAUGACGGUACUUGACUAAGAAGCUCCGGCUAAAUACGUGCCAGCAGCCGCGGUAAUACGUAUGGAGCAAGCGUUAUCCGGAUUUACUGGGUGUAAAGGGAGCGUAGACGGCAAAGCAAGUCUGAAGUGAAAUCCCGGGGCUCAACCCCGGAACUGCUUUGGAAACUGUUUAGCUAGAGUGCAGGAGAGGUAAGCGGAAUUCCUAGUGUAGCGGUGAAAUGCGUAGAUAUUAGGAGGAACACCAGUGGCGAAGGCGGCUUACUGGACUGUAACUGACGUUGAGGCUCGAAAGCGUGGGGAGCAAACAGGAUUAGAUACCCUGGUA
rnacentral:rRNA from 1 species